rnacentral:rRNA from 1 species
UACGGAGGGGGCUAGCGUUGUUCGGAAUUACUGGGCGUAAAGCGCGCGUAGGCGGACCUGCAAGUCGGGGGUGAAAGCCCGAGGCUCAACCUCGGAACUGCCUUCGAUACUGCGGGUCUCGAGUCCGGGAGAGGUGAGUGGAAUUCCUAGUGUAGAGGUGAAAUUCGUAGAUAUUAGGAAGAACACCAGUGGCGAAGGCGGCUAUCUGGACCGUAACUGACGCUGAGGCGCGAAAGCGUGGGGAGCAAACAGG